UGAGGGUCAUCUUGAAGGAGGCGCGGUCGACGCUGUGGGGGGGCAGGUAGAAAGACAGGAUGUCGAUGAGCAUGAGGAAGGAGCUCGGGAUCAGCAGGUUGACCACGUAGAGCACUGGGCGCCGCCUUAUGACCACCUAGCGGACAAGAAUCAGUGUGAAGAGACUCACCAUCUUUGUUGUGCACAACUUUUAGAUCAAAAAUAAAGAAGGUGAUGAUAUCCCACUCGUCGAUCCCAAACUGGAGGAUGGAGGUAUCCCCCAGUAUGUCCACCAGCUCCCACUCUCCACUGGCCUCCAGCCAGAAGAAGAUUAUAGUAAUGAAGCUGGCGGAUAUGAAGAGGAUGUAGAGGAGGAACAGCAGGCGGUCUAUGAUGAAACCAACCUGGAUCCACUCCUCUGCACUCAGCUGCCGCUUCAUCU